rnacentral:SRP_RNA from 1 species
GCCGGGUAUGGUGGUGCACGCCUGUAGUCCCAGCUACUCGGGAGGCUGAGACAGGAGAAUUGCUUGAACCCAGGAGGUGGAAGUUGCAGUGAGCCAAGAUCAUGCCACUGCACUCCAGCCUGGGUGAAAAAGUGAGACUCUGUCUCAA